rnacentral:lncRNA from 1 species
GGGGUCUCUUUUAUAGAUGGAAGAGUGUAACCGAUUGACAGCGACGUCCGUAACUGCCUGGUAGUGGGCCAUUCAGGGCCAUGUGGAGUUUGUUACGAAGAGUAGUGGUGUACGUUGUCGCGACUUGCCAGAGAGUGGUGGGGCCACGUGGAGUUUGUUACAGAGAGUGGAGUGGUGUCCGUUGUCGCGACUUGCCAGAGGAUUUGGGUCGGACGGUUGAAGCUCGGCUGGGACGUCUGAUGGAGUGGAAUAGCUCUCUAUCUCAGCAAUCUAAGAGAAGCUCGAAUGUUUCUGAGGUUG